GAUGAACGCUGGCGGCGUGCCUAAUACAUGCAAGUCGAGCGAACGGACGAGAAGCUUGCUGUUCUGUUGUUAGCGGCGGACGGGUGAGUAACACGUGGAUAACCUACCUGUAAGACUGGGAUAACUUCGGGAAACCGGAGCUAAUACCGGAUAAUAUUUUGAACCGCAUGGUUCAAAAGUGAAUGACGGUCUUGCUGUCUCUUAUAGAUGGAUCCGCGCUGCAUUAGCUAGUUGGUAAGGUAACGGCUUACCAAGGCAACGAUGCAUAGCCGACCUGAGGGGGUGAUCGGCCACACUGGAAGUGAGACACAGUCCAGACUCCUACGGGAGGACGCAGUAGGGAAUCUUACGCAAUGGGCGAAAGCCUGACAGAGCAACGCCGCGUGAGUGAUGAACGUGUUAGGAUCGUAAAACUCUGUUAUUAGGGAAGAACAUAUGUGUAAGUAACUGGGCAGAUAUUGACGGUACCUAAUCAGAAAGCCACGGCUAACUACGUG
rnacentral:rRNA from 1 species